AGACUCGGCUCACUGCCGACGCGGGUAUAGACCUCGCUCCCAUCGGACCCCAUGCGCAUCCAUGGAUGCGGGUAAGUCGCGGGUCCGCGGCUCCUUUCUGGGCGUGCGGAAUGAAACUCUGUUGAAGCCUGAAGCUUCGCGUGUAACCGCGCCGCCAGAGUUCCGAACACUUCAAGUCUCCCGUGUUCUCAGAGCAUCGUCUCUAACUUCCUCUCCUAGAGGAUUUCGUCCUGGGCGGCAGGUUUCCGUAGACUCGAAACCCCAGGCUGUGCUCCGGCCGCGCAGUCCUCCCCGGAGCCGGAGCCCGAACUUGGGGCUGCUACCAGACCCGCAGCAUUGAUCUGAGCCGCGGUUGUCACGUUUCGGCCCGCUUUGUCCCCAGCUCCGUGCAGCGUCCAGGGCGGAUCCACCCCCGUCCCCACCCCAGCCCUAUCCGGCGAGAUCUGGCUUACCACGAGGGUCAGCAGCAGAUGCAGGCAGACGGCUCCGCGCACGGAGCGCCGGGGCCCAGCGGCGGCCAUCGGGAUGCCGGGCAGGGCCAGGAGAACGCGGGCGCCGGGAGGGUGCCGAGAGCGAGACCUGCCGAGGUGCAGGGCGCGGGAGGUGCUUUUCUCGCCGCUGCUUGUUUUUAAGUGUAUUUGGCCUCUCUCAGGCUUGCCUGCCCGGGAGCAACUUCACUUCUGAAACCGGAUUGGACCCAGAGGACGCGGAGAGGCCACUCCUUGUUAUUUCUCAAGUUUUAUCAUCGCCGGCGCGGCUGAGGAGCUGCCCGAGCCUGCCCCUCUGCUCCCCAGCAGCCACCCGGGCGUUCGCGCUCGGGAAAGCGGUCUCUGGCGCACCCUCUGCCAGUUCUCCCACGCCCCUCGGCUGCCCCGCGGCGCUGCCGCCCCGCCCGGCCCGCAGAGAGGCCCUGGCAGCCCAGAUCGUCCCAGGGCGGCCCCAUCGCCGGCGCUGCGCGGUGCAUCUCAAUGCAGAACCCCAAUCCGCCCGCAGGGAUCCCUGCCUCGACACGGGCUCUGCUGGAUGCCAGGAACACCCUUGUCAUUGGAUCAGCGGAUCUCCCCUUCGACGUCUGAACAAAUUCUGCCAAUGUUUUCAGAUUAAAGCAAAAUACAUGUACUGUAUUCUCUCCGGAUUUGACUAACAUGACAAAAUACACGACAGAAGGAAUUUAUCCCAGAUGGCAUGAUAAACAGUUUUUGGCAUGUCAGAAAUUAAAACCAAAUUUAAGAAAUUCUAAUCUAACCAUUUUUACGCACCCAAAAUAUGAGUGAUUACACUCAGCGCUCUAUUAACUGUCAGUUUGGGGGACUCAUAUGAACCUUCUAAAAACGACUUUGUUCUUAGAUGUGAAUUAUUGGUUUACUACUUACUGGUACCAAAAUGAAAUUUUUCAGGUGGUCAAAGGAAUAUCUACCACACAAAACCUUCUAAAACGAGGCUUACAGAUUCUACAUCAUGCAACGACUAUUUAUCAGGGCCCGAAGUCGGCCAAGCUUUGUGUGAGGGCAUGGAAGAAAGGAAAUGCAGAAAAUCUAGUUCCUGUCGGAAAUAAUUCAAAGUCAGAAAGGGACGAAAGACAAUCAUUCCUAGCCCAGUAGGCUACACUUUUUAAUAGAGAUGUCGUUUGUAACACCAGGGGGACAUCCUCUUAUUUCUCCCUAAACUGAAUUUUAAGUUCCCCGAGUUCCCAUCUACUGGAUUCAGGAGGAAAUCCCUCUCAGACAUGAGAUGCUACUCCUCGAAGUCCAUUCAAAAGUUGCAAGGUCGGGAAUUUCAGACAGCCAAUUAAUCAUGAAAGGGUGUUAUGACCUUCAUUCAUCUCACUCUGGCUCAAGUCUAAUAGACUCCUCGUCGUCUAAGCCAUGUAUUCCCUGAAGUCUGGGGCUUCCCUGAAACUCAUGAGGCUCAGCUUUAAGGGCUCAGACACUCUAAGUUGAGCUUCCCAGUGUGAAUCUCCCAGGCACCCGUCAGUGGAGGUCUCUGUAUGUAAGAGCUCUUCCAGUCUCAGAGAAAGUUCUCCAAACUUCUCUCCACUCCAGGGUUUUCACCUCCCAUCCUCCACGUGCCUCCAGCAUGACCUCAGAGAAAGCUUCUCAAAGUCACUUCCAGCCCCCCAGCCCUCAGAAACUCAAGUAGAAUGGUUUUCUUGAACUUAGAUGAGUAAAGGAGAUGGCUAGCACCAAUCUCCCUCCCUCACCACUUUGAAUUCACUGUUAGAGUGAAGGGUUGAGGUGUUAAGGCAUUUUAGAGGAGAGGAUCUAACUUAGCUGAAGAAAGCUUUGAAGAAGCAAAAUGUUGCGAUAAGCCCAGCAAAGAAAAGGGAAAGGGUAGGAGAAUGCUUCAAGAUAACACAACAUCAACAGGACAUGAGAAGCUCUGGAGAGCCUUGUGAGAGUGCCCCAGGGUAAGAAAGCAGAAAGGGGUUGGUUCAGAAUGGUUACAUGCAAUGGCUGGGAAUUCGGUUAGAAAGAUGGUUCAUGACAAACCAUGCUGAGGAAUUUAAUUUCAUCCUGACAGAAAUGGAGAACCAUCCAUUCAAUGUGUGAAAAGGGUUAGUAACUACUGUUACAAAAUUGUCACUUUUGGUGAGUUUGCACAUAUGAACCCAUUUGUGCUGUAAUAUGGCUUUCUUUAAUACCUAGGGAAUGAAAGACUUUGAAGUGUUUGUCUUUAUUCUAACUAUUCUUAGUUUUUCUAUGAUUUCAACUCUAUCUUCAGAUUUAUGAGAGUCUGGCCUGGUUAGGACUGUCCUUUGAAAGACUAAAACUCUAAAAUUGCUAUCCCCUGAUUAUUUUGACUGUGCUGUGUAAUAGAGGAUAUUUAUUGUUAAGCCUACUGACUAAUAUGACAAUUGCUGUGAGCUUCCAUUUUUAGCUUCCGCAAAAUAAAAGUUGUAGGAAUCUGCUUUAGAAAAACUCGAAGAAAACAUAUUAUGGAUAUUUUUAACUUGUAUUGCAAAAUUCUAGGUGCAAUACGAACAUUAAUAACUGAAUGUAGUAUUAGUAAUGAUUUUGGAAUUUCCUGUUUGUCCACCAUGAGUAUAUUAAUCUAAGUCCUAAUAAAAAGCAAUGCAUUUUUAUCAUA